rnacentral:tRNA from 1 species
AAAGGGAGACCUAAUUCAGGUAUGGGACGAAAAAAAAGUAGUCGCUACCAAGAAUCAAUCCCAAAAGGUCGGAGCGAGGCAUAAGGCUUUCAAACUAGGUUCUGGGUUCACACAAGACCUGAAUCAGGAACAAGGGCUAUUAGCUCAGGUGGUUAGAGCGCACCCCUGAUAAGGGUGAGGUCCCUGGUUCGAGUCCAGGAUGGCCCACCUGCACAGGUGGCAAAAACAAGAGAAGCGAGGAAUCAGCACCUUAUCUUACUGACAUAGUAAGAGAGAAUGCUGGCUCUGAGUAAAGAGUCCAGAGGAACCUUGAAAACUGCAUAGAGCUAGGUGAAAAAGCCAAAAAAGAAGACCGCAAG